rnacentral:lncRNA from 13 species
UACAUAUUGUAUUCGGUUAUAACACACGCUGUGUGGAUGCAGUGGGAAGAGCUUGUAGUUGUGUGUAGAGGAAAUGGAAAAUUGUGAUACAAUUAAAAUAAAACGAGAAAACAAUAAAGGAGAAAAAUGGGAAAACGGUACCACCUUAAUAUGGGGAUAUUUUACCAGAGGAGGAAAAUUAUUUGCUGCAAGCUGCAACAAAUGUAACUAUUCAACCUAUAUUGGAUUCCAAAAAGAAAUGUUAUGGAGACACCUGAUAGUAUAUCAUUCACGCGAAAUGCCUGUGAUUACCAAAAAAAUUAAAAAUUCCUGGAUGUCGUCACAUAUCACGGUUGACAUGAAAAACUGGAAUAUAGUGUGCAAGUGUUGCACAAACUUUACUACUAAAAUAUAUCUUGAGGAUAGCUUAGUAUCUCAUUUGAAUGACGUCCAUGCUAUAAAAGAACCAAGACUUUAAGAUUUUCGAGCUCUUGAAAUUCAACGGAGAAUAGUUACCACUUCAAGACUAACGAAUGGCAAUGUCAUGGAUUCUUAUAAAAAUUUGACAGAACAUCAAAGUGAUGUACGAGUGAACAUCUCCACCCAGCCAUUUGAACGAAAGAAAAAAGAAACAGAUGCUUAUAAAUAAUUAAUUACUUUGCUUAUAUUACACUACAUAAAAAAAAGAAUAUACAAAGAAAGUUUUUGAAUAUUAAUUUGAUAUUAAGAUUGCUUUAUUAUGUAAAUCUACUAUAAUAAAUAUACGGUUUAAACAUACUAUUUUAUACAUUAUGAAUCUUACCUUUAAUAAAGACGGUAAUACAC